rnacentral:rRNA from 1 species
CGGCAGACGGGUGAGUAGCGCGUGGGAACAUACCUUUUGGUUCGGAACAACACAGGGAAACUUGUGCUAAUACCGGAUAAGCCCUUACGGGGAAAGAUUUAUCGCCGAAAGAUUGGCCCGCGUCUGAUUAGCUAGUUGGUGAGGUAACGGCUCACCAAGGCGACGAUCAGUAGCUGGUCUGAGAGGAUGAUCAGCCACAUUGGGACUGAGACACGGCCCAA